AAAUGAUUUAUAGGUAUAAGAUGGAUCCGCGUCCGAUUAGCUAGUUGGUGAGGUAAAGGCCCACCAAGGCGACGAUCGGUAGCCGGCCUGAGAGGGUGAACGGCCACAUUGGGACUGAGAACACGGGCCAAACUCCUACGGGAGGCAGCAGUGGGGAAUAUAGGACAAUGGGGGGAAACCCUGAUCCAGCGACGCCGCGUGAGUGACGAAGUAUAUCGGUAUGUAAAAGCUCUAACGACAGGGAAGAACAUGACGGUACCUGACUAAGACGCCCCGGGCUUACUACGUGCCAGCAGCCGCGGUAAUACGUAGGGGGCAAGCGUUAUCCGGAUUUACUGGGUGUAAAGGGGGCGCAGACGGCAAUGCAAGUCUGAAGUGAAAGGCCUGGGCUCAACCCAUGAACUGCUUUGGAAACUGUAUAGCUUGAGUGUCGGAGGGGUAAGCGGAAUUCCUAGUGUAGCGGUGAAAUGCGUAGAUAUUAGGAGGAACACCGGAGGCGAAGGCGGCUUACUGGACGACAACUGACGUUGAGGCUCGAAGGCGUGGGGAGCAUACAGGAUUAGAUACCCUGGUAGUCCACGCAGUAAACGAUGAAUACUUGGUGUCGGGGAGGUAACUCUUCGGUGCCGCAA
rnacentral:rRNA from 1 species